AGGUGUGAUCAUACCAGCACUCAUGCACCGGAUCACAUCAGAACUCCGCAGAUAAGCGUCCUUGGGCGCGAGUAGUACUAGGAUGGGUGACAUCCUGGGAAGUCCUCGUGCUGCACCUU
rfam:Lupinus angustifolius cultivar Tanjil contig_40777, whole genome shotgun sequence.